rnacentral:rRNA from 1 species
GAUCAUGGCUCAGGAUGAACGCUGGCGGCGUGCUUAACACAUGCAAGUCGAGCGAAGCACUUUACUUGGAUUUCUUCGGAAUGACGAGUAUUGUGACUGAGCGGCGGACGGGUAAGUAACGCGUGGGUAACCUGCCUCAUACAGGGGGAUAACAGUUAGAAAUGACUGCUAAUACCGCAUAAGACCACAGCACCGCAUGGUGCAGGGGUAAAAACUCCGGUGGUAUGAGAUGGACCCG